CAACAGCAACAACAACAACAACAACAGCAACAGCAACAACAACAGCAAUAGCAACAGCAUCAACAACAACAUAUCUAUCAUCCUCAGGGCCAACCAUAGCAGCACUUACCCAUGGAAAGUCCUCAAGUCCUCCACACCAACACCAUACCGCCCUACUUGCCACCAUACUGGUGGUGGCGUCUGGAGGGGGCCUCUUCCUGGUGGUCCUCACUGCCUCAUGUCUCUGCUUCAGUAAGUUGAUCACUUAUUUACCACCUGGAGGACUCACGUCAGGGGCUUUUUAUUAAGAGUUACUGAAACUGCCUUCCUCCAGAGUGUG